CGGGUACAGUACCGCGACCAUCGUCAACCGGCACGGCCCGGCAGGCGCCACCCGCCGCUCGCCUCGCCUGCCCCCCACGUGCCGCCCGUGCGGCCACCCAUCAAUCCCUCUCCCCCUCCCCCCCACGCCUCCCGCUCCGCCCACUCCACAUCGCCUCCCGUCCCCCACCUACCGCCGCUCCCCGCCCGCGCCCGCCAAAUGUCGGACGACGGCGGCGCCGGCGAGCCGCUCAGCGGCGACCAGAAGCGGGAGAUCGCCGUCUGGUUCCUCGCCAACGCCCCCACCGGCGAGAUCCACUACGUCGCCAAGGAUGUGCGGGCGUUGCUGGGGGACGACGCCGCGUACGAGGCCGCGGCCGCCGAGGCCUACCCGGAGUACAACAAGACGCACCUCGUCUCCCUCGAGCUCCCAGACCGCAGCGGCGAUAUAAUCAUCACAACUUAUGGGGAGAUUGACAGGAACAACUAUCUGGACCCUAGGACCGCACAAAUUGCUACCGUGGACCAUGUUAAGCAGACUUGUACAAAAUUGAGGCCUGCUACAGAUGAGGAGCUUCCGUCAGGAUAUAUUGAAGAAUUUAGGAGUGCUAUAGAUUAUGAAGUGUCCAAAUAUGUUGGUGAAGCUUAUCCAAAAGGUGUUUCUGCCGUUUAUUGUACCAAUGGAAAGGAUCUAGAGGAACCAGGAGCUGAUUUUGGUUUGGCAGUAGUUAUUUCUGCUGCUAGACGAAGCCCACGGAACUUUUGCAAUGGCAGCUGGCGUUCCAUUUGGACUUUGGAAUUCAGUUAUGCGUUUCAACUUGUAGAAAUUAAAGGAAAGAUACAGGUAGAUGCUCAUUAUUUUGAAGAGGGAAAUGUGCAGCUGGAUACUGAUGUUGAUCGCAAGGACUCCACAAUAAUGCAGUCACCUGAAGACACUGCACACACAGUUGCUAACAUCAUUCGGCAUCACGAGUCCGAGUAUUUUUCAUCUCUCGAGGAAUCAUACUUGAAUCUCUCCGACGCAACGUUCAAGGAUCUUCGGAGGAAACUUCCGGUUACCCGCACCCUUUUCCCAUGGCAUAACACGCAUGCCAUCACCCUCACGCGGGACCUCGCCAAAGAGCUAGGGAUAGGGAAAGGAAGCCAUGUCACUAGGUAGCUUCGUGUGGAAUUUUUAUCUCCAUGCAAUUUGCUGUUCUGUAGGCCGUACAAUUCUUAUCCUGUAUAAUCAGCAGUUUUCUUCUUUCGGUUACUGUGGUUUCACAUAGCGGUGUAAAUCAAGAGCUUGACCUUUCUUUUGUGGAGAAAUCGCAUCGCCAGAAUAUAUGUUCGUUCAUUCAGAUUCUGACUUGCCUCAUUUGAUGUGAGAUGUUUGUAUUUGGCCUCCAAAUC
rnacentral:rRNA from 1 species